GUAUAAAAAGCGAAACUUCGCAUCUAGCUUCGGAUUAGAUUUUGGAGGUGUAAUUCCUUCUUUAUAUU
rnacentral:tRNA from 1 species